GGAUGCGAUCAUACCAGCACUAAAGCACCGGAUCCCAUAAGAACUCCGAAGGUAAGCGUGCUUGGGCGAGAGUAGUACUAGGAUGGGUGACCUCCUGGGAAGUCCUCGUGUUGCAUUCC
rnacentral:rRNA from 1 species